rnacentral:lncRNA from 1 species
GGGAAAGGUUCCCCGGCCUCUCUUGGUCAGGGUGACGCAGUAGCCUGCAAACCUCGGCGCGUAGGCCACCGCACUUAUCCGCAGCAGGACCGCCCGCAGCCGGUAGGGUGGGCUCUUCCCAGUGCCCGCCCAGCUACCGGCCAGCCUGCGGCUGCGCAGAUCUUUCGUGGUUCUGUCAGGGAGACCCUUAGGCACUCCGGACUAAGAUGGCGGCGACGGCCAGGCGGGGCUGGGGAGCUGCGGCUGUUGCCGCCGGGCUGCGCAGGCGGUUCUGUCAUAUGUUGAAGAAUCCAUACACCAUUAAGAAACAGCCUCUGCAUCAGUUUGUACAAAGACCACUUUUCCCACUACCUGCAGCCUUUUAUCACCCAGGCAGUUAUUUAGGAUUGAAGGAGUAAAAAGUGUCUUCUUUGGACCAGAUUUCAUCACUGUCACAAAGGAAAAUGAAGAAUUAGACUGGAAUUUACUGAAACCAGAUAUUUAUGCAACAAUCAUGGACUUCUUUGCAUCUGGCUUACCCCUGGUUACUGAGGAAACACCUUCAGGAGAAGCAGGAUCUGAAGAAGAUGAUGAAGUUGUGGCAAUGAUUAAGGAAUUGUUAGAUACUAGAAUACGGUUAUGGAUGAUGAAUCAGAUGAAAAAGAAGCAAACUCACCUUAAAAUAAUCUGGAUUUUCUUUGGGCAUAACAGUCAGACUUGUUGAUAAUAUAUAUCAAGUUUUUAUUAUUAAUAUGCUGAGGAACUUGAAGAUUAAUAAAAUAUGCUCUUCAGAGAAUGAUAUAUAAAUAUUGCA